GGUUGCAGAGCCUCCCUGAAAGCCUCAUGGAACUACUGAAGGAUGCAGAUGGAGAGCUGGUUGAGCUGACCCUCUCUGUGCUCAGCAAGGUGCUCCUGGACCACAACGUGGCAAUUGCUGUCCCCACUGCUCUGCAGCUGGCUGAGGCGCUCCGGCCACUGUUUGACAAAAUGAUAGUCUGUUUAGAGAAAGAGGGGAAAAAGUCCGUGAAGAUGUGUGUGCGCCAGAGUCUGCUCCCACUUUUCUACCACCUGUAUGAUGAGAACUGGCAUGUGGCAGAGGCCUCUCUGAAAACCCUGCUUCAAGCGACCAAGUUUCUGAAGAAGAGGAAGUUCAAGCGACUUCUGGAGAGGGAGCAGCCCUGGAAAUGUAGUGAGUGCCUGCUGGCAGAGGACAGAAGCACAACAGACGAGUACUGGCACCAGUCCCUGGCAUACCUGCAGAGCCCUCAGGAGUCCAUGCGAGAGACGGCCAUCAAGUUCAUUGGGCUCAUGGGGCAGCGCAUGAGAGGACGACGGCAGGAAGAGUUCCAGAUUAUGUGUGAUGCCCUUCUAGGUAUGGCAAAUGACAUCAGCCCCUCUGUCUCAACCCUGGCAGUUCAAACACUGCACAGCAUAAGAACUGCACAAAGAAAUCGAUUGCCUGGCCUAUUGCAACUGCUACAAGACCAGCUCCGCAGGGUGUAUAGGAGAUAACCUUCACUCUGGGUCUUUCGCUGGCCAUGCUUUGCAAGUUGUGAGCAGAGCUGAUCCCAGGAGUUCUGACUGCUGGGACCACCUAAGCCUGCAGGAAGGCCAAGUGGGUUCUGGCCUCUCCUAACCCGCAGGACAGUUUUCUUUCAUCCCAGUAUGGAAAUAUAAAAACUGUUUUAUCAUAUCACACAGAGGGCCAGGAGCUUUUUAUUUUGGCUGCAAGUGUCCACAGG
rnacentral:lncRNA from 12 species